rnacentral:rRNA from 1 species
UACAGAGGUCUCAAGCGUUGUUCGGAUUCAUUGGGCGUAAAGGGUGCGUAGGUGGCGCGCUAAGUCAGGUGUGAAAUUUCGGAGCUUAACUCCGAAACUGCAUUCGAUACUGCCGUGCUUGAGGACUGGAGAGGAGACUGGAAUUUACGGUGUAGCGGUGAAAUGCGCAGAUAUCAGGAGGAACACCGGUGGCGAAGGCGGGUCUCUGGGGCAGUAACUGACGCUGAGGAGCGAAAGCGUGGGGGAGCGAACAGG